rnacentral:rRNA from 1 species
UACGUAGGGUGCGAGCGUUAAUCGGAAUUACUGGGCGUAAAGCGUGCGCAGGCGGCGCGUUAAGACAGGUGUGAAAGCCCCGAGCUUAACUUGGGAAUUGCGCUUGUGACUGGCGAGCUGGAGUGUGGCAGAGGGAGGUGGAAUUCCACGUGUAGCAGUGAAAUGCGUAGAGAUGUGGAGGAACACCGAUGGCGAAGGCAGCCCUCCUGGGCCAGCACUGACGCUCAUGCACGAAAGCGUGGGGAGCAAACAGG